rnacentral:rRNA from 1 species
UACGUAGGGUGCAAGCGUGUCCGGAAUUAUUGGGCGUAAAGAGCUCGUAGGCAGUCUGUCGCGUCGGCUGUGAAAACUCGGGGCUCAACUCCGAGCUUGCAGUCGAUACGGGCAGGCUAGAGUUCGGCAGGGGGGGACUGGAAUUCCUGGUGUAGCGGUGGAAUGCGCAGAUAUCAGGAGGAACACCGAGUGGCAAGGCGGGUCUCUGGGGCCGAACUGACGCUGAGGAGCGAAAGCUGGGGAGCGAACAGG